rnacentral:rRNA from 1 species
UACGUAGGCAGCGAGCGUUGUUCGGAAUUACUGGGCGUAAAGAGUGUGUAGGCGGCGCUCUAAGUUCGGUGUGAAAUCUCUCGGCUUAACUGGGAGGGUGCGCCGGAAACUGGAGUGCUCGAACGUGGGAGAGGAACGCGGAAUUCCAGGUGUAGCGGUGAAAUGCGUAGAUAUCUGGAGGAACACCGGUGGCGAAGGCGGCGUUCUGGACUGUUUCUGACACUGAAAAACGAAAGCCAGGGGAGCAAACGGG